rnacentral:rRNA from 1 species
AUUGAACGCUGGCGGCAUGCUUUACACAUGCAAGUCGAACGGCAGCGCGGUCUUCGGCCUGGCUGCGAGUGGCGAACGGGUGAGUAAUGCAUCGGAACGUGCCCAGUAGUGGUGUAUAGCCCGGCGAAAGCCGGAUUAAUACCGCAUACGACCUGAGGGUGCAACCUGGGGGCCGAAAGGCCUCUUCCUCUUGUGGGGACCGACGUCGGGUUUGAUAGUUGGUGGGUUAAGGGCUUGCCAAGGCGACGAUCGGUGGGUGGUCUGAGAGGAAGGCCAGCCACAGUGGGAGUGAGACAGGGACAAGACGACUACGGGAGGGAGCAGUGGGGAAUUGUGGACAAUGGUGGCAACCAUGAUCCAGCCAGGCCGCGUGCGAGAAGAAGGCCUUCGGGUUGUAAACAGCUUUUGUUCGGGAAGAAACGCUCUGGGCUAAUACCCAGGGGGGAUGACGGUAACGGAAGAAUAAGCACCGGCUAACUACGUG